GGGCCAUUAGCUCAUCUGGUAGAGCGCGUCAUUCGCAUUGACGAGGUAAGCGGUUCAAGUCCGCUAUGGUCCACCA
rnacentral:tRNA from 2 species